UCAGUCUUGAACUUGAAUUUCGAAAGUUUACCGACUCUUGCCGGGAACCUCAACCCUAGAUAUCCGCGUAACGAUGUAUUCCUUAAAAAGGAGACUAAGCGCAUCAUCCUCAUCAUCCCACGGUACACCACUCUAUCUGCAGCGGCGAUCCCAAGCCAGUGGAGAGCAGCCUGGCAGUAGAGCAGUGGCAUCAAGUACCACAUCCAGAUACUGAGAAAAGAAACCGAAUUGAAGAAGUGGGGAAAGCUUUAGAGGAGUUUUAUGAGGAUCACGGCAAUGCAAUGAAGCAACAGUUGGAGCUUUAAGGUGCUACAAGAGGAACAUUUCUGAAUCCAUUGGGGAAAACAGUCUUGGCAAGAAGGAGUGAUAUAAAAGGAGAGCAUUUCUCAGUAACAUCAGUGCUGUCCACUUACAGCAGUUCUGCAUAUCCCCAUCCUGUCUACCAUGUGUCACACAUGUGCCUCAGUGGAUCGCUCAUCUAAGGUAUGUACUACCACCCUGGGUCAAGAGGGGGUGCCUGUGCUACCUUUGUCCUCUUCUGUUCCAUCCACAGUACUGAGAAGAUGUCCACUGAGGGACCCCUAAAAAACCAGAGGCCACCAGAAGGAGGCAUUUCUCCUUUGUGAACAGAACCACACCGCAAGACAAGUUCCUACCUGGUGACUGAAACUUUGGAAUUACAAAGUCCGACAGCUCCUGUGCUUAUUUUGGAGUUUUCUGUUUCAUUUUGUGCCCAUUGCGGCUACCUUCAUUUACCUUCUCUUUAGUUCGAUCAAAUGGGAACGACCGGGUUGGCAACCCGACAUUUCCUCAUAACUUGCAGUCCUUUACUUGACCACACGUGAUAAAUGUCAUCUACCUCUCAGUUUGAUUUGUAGGGUUCAUAAAGUUAAUUCCAAGUCGAAACAAUUAUCAUAGCGUUAACUUAAAGCCUUGCUAAUCAUCUUACUGUUUAGGGCAAACAAGAUAGCAGUUUUGCAGUGUCCUUGUUACUGCUUCUUUAUGUUUGCUCAUUUGUCCUUUUUAAAAGGAAUUUCAUAAUGAAUAUAUAAUAAACUAGGGGGCUUUGCCCCCUGCUUGCUUUGCUCGCCAACC